UUCUUCGGCAACCGUGUCGUCAAGCAGACGUGAUUUUGGAGUCUUUUCGUUGACAAACAAGACAAUUGAUCAGUAUGCUUUCCCGGAAGAUCAUUCCUGUACCCGAUUAAAUACUCAACCUGUCUGGUUCACUCCAGACUUCUAUCAGCCUGAUUGAAUCAGCUUCUUUAUGAUUAUCUUUCAGCACAUUUGCAGGUUGUAUAUACUUUGUCUAGUCCAAAUGAAUUAAUCGGAAGAUGGAUCUGUUCAUUUAUGCAAAAGGAGAGUUGUGAGUAUUGCAAUUUUUUAACAGCAAUGAAUCCCUUGUGUCUGGUAUGAAUUGCAACUUCCUGAAUCAACGUUUGGCACAGUGACUUGCCAAGUCUUUGUGGAGAAAUUUUUCAGUGCUACGGGAGGACCACGUGGCAGUCUGACGUGGUCCUACUUUCUAAUCAAAUUUAGACAUGUAGAUUUUCUUCCCGAAAAAUUAUUUCAGCUAUUUUGUCAAAGACCAUUUUAGGUUUUCUGUUGUUUUUUUAAUACUAAACCCUAAGCCCUAAACCCCAAACCCUAAACCCUAUACCCUAAUCCCUAAUCCCUAAACCCUAUACCCUAAACCCUAACCCUAAACUUUAAACCCUAUACCCUAGACCCUAGUUUGAACUUGCUAAAUACCCAUGAAUGUCAUUUCACAAAAAAUAGAAAAUAUUUGUUUAUAUUUUAGUUGUAAUCCACAUGUUUAAAUUUGAUUGGAACAUAGAACCACGUCACACUGUCACAUGGUCCUCCCGUAGCAUUUAAAAAUUUCUCAGUCUUUGUGUCCCUUCUUGAAUUUUGGACUAAUUUCUAGUUUUGUUUUCGUCCUGUUUAGGGUUAUUCAUUAACUUUCUUUCUACAUAUUAGUAAGGAAUCGUAUCCAGAACAUUCAUUAACC
rnacentral:lncRNA from 1 species